rnacentral:rRNA from 1 species
UUUGCGUCGAAGGUAUACCGGUAAGGAGUGCUGGAGCGAAUAGAAGUGAGCAUGCAGGCAUGAGUAGCGAUAAUUAAUGUGAGAAUCAUUAACGCCGUAAACCCAAGGUUUCCUACGCGAUGCUCGUCAUCGUAGGGUUAGUCGGGUCCUAAGUCGAGUCCGAAAGGGGUAGACGAUGGCAAAUUGGUUAAUAUUCCAAUACCAACAUUAGUGUGCGAUGGAAGGACGCUUAGGGCUAAGGGGGCUAGCGGAUGGAAGUGCUAGUCUAAGGUCGUAGGAGGUUAUACAGGCAAAUCCGUAUAACAAUACUCCGAGAACUGAAAGGCUUUUUGAAGUCUUCGGAUGGAUAGAAGAACCCCUGAUGCCGUCGAGCCAAGAAAAGUUUCUAAGUUUAGCUAAUGUUGCCCGUACCGUAAACCGACACAGGUGGGUGGGAUGAGUAUUCUAAGGCGCGUGGAAGAACUCUCUUUAAGGAACUCUGCAAAAUAGCACCGUAUCUUCGGUAUAAGGUGUGGUUAGCUUUGUAUUAGGAUUUACUCCGAAAGCGAAGAAACUUACAACAAAGAGUCCCUCCCGACUGUUUACCAAAAACACAGCACUCUGCUAACUCGUAAGAGGAUGUAUAGGGUGUGACGCCUGCCCGGUGCUCGAAGGUUAAUUGAUGGGGUUAGCAUUAGCGAAGCUCUUGAUCGAAGCCCGAGUAAACGGCGGCCGUAACUAUAACGGUCCUAAGGUAGCGAAAUUCCUUGUCGGUUAAAUACCGACCUGCAUGAAUGGCGUAACGAGAUGGGAGCUGUCUCAAAGAGGGAUCCAGUGAAAUUGUAGUGGAGGUGAAAAUUCCUCCUACCCGCGGCAAGACGGAAAGACCCCGUGGACCUUUACUACAGCUUGACACUGCUACUUGGAUAAGAAUGUGCAGGAUAGGUGGGAGGCUUUGAGUAUAUGACGCCAGUUGUAUAUGAGCCAUUGUUGAGAUACCACUCUUUCUUAUUUGGGUAGCUAACCAGCUUGAGUUAUCCUCAAGUGGGACAAUGUCUGGUGGGUAGUUUGACUGGGGCGGUCGCCUCCCAAAUAAUAACGGAGGCUUACAAAGGUUGGCUCAGAACGGUUGGAAAUCGUUCGUAGAGUAUAAAGGUAUAAGCCAGCUUAACUGCAAGACAUACAAGUCAAGCAGAGACGAAAGUCGGUCUUAGUGAUCCGGUGGUUCUGUGUGGAAGGGCCAUCGCUCAAAGGAUAAAAGGUACCCCGGGGAUAACAGGCUGAUCUCCCCCAAGAGCUCACAUCGACGGGGAGGUUUGGCACCUCGAUGUCGGCUCAUCGCAUCCUGGGGCUGGAGCAGGUCCCAAGGGUAUGGCUGUUCGCCAUUUAAAGCGGUACGCGAGCUGGGUUCAGAACGUCGUGAGACAGUUCGGUCCCUAUCUGCCGUGGGCGUAAGAAGAUUGAAGAGAUUUGACCCUAGUACGAGAGGACCGGGUUGAACAAACCACUGGUGUAGCUGUUGUUCUGCCAAGAGCAUCGCAGCGUAGCUAAGUUUGGAAAGGAUAAACGCUGAAAGCAUCUAAGCGUGAAGCCAACUCUAAGAUGAAUCUUCUCUAAGCUCUCUAGAAGACUACUAGUUUGAUAGGCUGGGUGUGUAAUGGAUGAAAGUCCUUUAGCUGACCAGUACUAAUAGAGCGUUUGGCUUAUCUUUAAUAAAGCAU